rnacentral:rRNA from 1 species
UACGUAGGGUGCAGGCGUUAUUCGGAAUUACUGGGCGUAAAGCGUGCGCAGGCGGUCUGCUAAGUGAGGUGUGAAAUCCCCGGGCUUAACCUGGGAACUGCGCUUCUAACUGGCAGGCUAGAGUGUGGCAGAGGGGGGUGGAAUUCCACGUGUAGCAGUGAAAUGCGUAGAGAUGUGGAGGAACACCGAUGGCGAAGGCAGCCCCCUGGGCUAACACUGACGCUGAUGCACGAAAGCGUGGGGAGCAAACAGG